UUGGCGACGUCGACGUUUUCGCUCUGCUGAUAAAGCUUUCCCACCGCUUCACUGAUGGCGGGGUGCCAGGUCACGGCGCGGUUAACCGCUUCGCCAAGCUGGAGCGUGCCGGGAGCGGCGUUGCCCGGCACGGGGGCCACGCGACCAUUAAGUGAAGGGAGUUCCUGGGUUUCGCUCAGUUGUCCAGUAUUGAUCAUUGCCGCCGGGUUGGCGGCCGUUGCGGGCACAGAUAUCAGGCAGCACGAGAGCCACCAGUAAGGCAUCUUCUUUCCCAUGUCUUAUCCCUAAUAAAAGAGUACAGCUUUAUUGUUUAUGCCCGGGCGCUGCUGCGCCCGGGUCAUU
rnacentral:sRNA from 1 species